UAGAGUUUGAUCAUGGCUCAGAACGUACGCUGGCGGCACGCCUAACACAUGCAAGUCGAACGAAGUAGCAAUACUUAGUGGCAGACGGGUGAGUAACAUGUGGGUAUCUACCCUUUGGCCUGGAAUAACACGAGGAAACUUGUGCUAAUACCGGAUAAGUCUUUACGGAGAAAGCUUUAUGCACCAUUGGAUGAGCCCGCACUUGAUUAGUUUGUUGGUAGGGUAAUGGCCUACCAAGACUAUGAUCAAUAGCUGAUUUGAGAGGAUGAUCAGCCACAUUGGGACUGAGACACGGCCCAAACUCCUACGGGAGGCAGCAGUGGGGAAUCUUGCACAAUGGAGGAAACUCUGAUGCAGCGAUGCCGCGUGAGUGAAGAAGGCCUUUGGGUUGUAAAGCUCUUUCGUCGGGGAAGAAAAUGACUGUACCCGAAUAAGAAGGUCCGGCUAACUUCGUGCCAGCAGCCGCGGUAAUACGAAGGGACCUAGCGUAGUUCGGAAUUACUGGGCUUAAAGAGUUCGUAGGUGGUUGAAAAAGUUGGUGGUGAAAUCCCAGAGCUUAACUCUGGAACUGCCAUCAAAACUUUUCAGCUAGAGUAUGAUAGAGGAAAGCAGAAUUUCUAGUGUAGAGGUGAAAUUCGUAGAUAUUAGAAAGAAUACCAAUUGCGAAGGCAGCUUUCUGGAUCAUUACUGACACUGAGGAACGAAAGC
rnacentral:rRNA from 1 species